rnacentral:rRNA from 1 species
GAUGAACGCUGGCGGCGUGCCUAAUACAUGCAAGUCGAACGCGCCGAGAAGGGAACUUGUUCCUUUCAACGCGAGUGGCGAACGGGUGAGUAACACGUGGGAAACCUAUACUUCAGCGGGGGAUAACCAUCGGAAACGAUGACUAAUACUGCAUAGUUGUUCCAGUCGGUUGACUGGAAUGGGAAAGACGGCUUCGGCUGUGACUGAAGGAUGGUCCCGCGGUGCAUUAGCUAGACGGUGGGGUAACGGCCUACCGUGGCUUUGAUGCAUAGCCGACCUGAGAGGGUGAUCGGCCACAUUGGGACUGAGACACGGCCCAAGCUCCUACGGGAGGCAGCAGUAGGGAAUCUUCCGCAAUGGGCGCAAGUCUGACGGAGCAACGCCGCGUGUGUGAAGAAGGUCUUCGGAUCGUAAAGCACUGUUAUCAGAGAAGAAUAGCCUUUAGAGUAACUGUUAUAGGUUUGACGGUAACUGAUCAGAAAGCCACGGCUAACUACGUG